UUACGGUUACCUUGUUACGACUUAACCCUCCUCACCGACAUCAGAUUUGAGCUUGCCCGUAAGAGCAUACCCUCAUCCAGCACCAGCUCGGAUGGUUUGACGGGCGGUGUGUGCAAGGAGCAGGGGCAUAUUCACCGCGGGCUGUUGACCCGCGAUUACUACGGAAUCCACAUUCAUGAGGGCGAGUUACAGCCCUCAAUCCUAACUACGAACAGGUUUCGAGAUUAGCUCCCCCUUUCGAGGUGGCAACUCAUUGUCCUGCCCUUUGUAGCGCGCGUGUUGCCCGGGAGAUUCGGGGCGUACUGACCUGCCGUCGACCCCUCCUUCCUCCAGUUUAGCACUGGCGGUCCCUCUAAAGUGCGCGUGCACGCGAAUGCACGUUAGCAAUUAGAGAUGGGGGUCUCGCUCGUUAUCACACUUAAGUGAACGCCCUACGGUACGAGCUGACGACGGCCAUGCACCACCUCUCCUUCUAUCGAGUAAGCUCAUCAGGCUGACUCUCAUCCAAAGGUCGCUCCCGGUGAGUUUUCCGGCGUUGAAUCCAAUUAAACCGCACGCUCCUCCCGUUGCGGUGCUCCCCCGCCAAUUCCUUUAAGUUUCAGCCUUGCGACCAUACUCCCCAAGCGGCCCACUUAACACCUUCGCUCCGGCACUGCCUCCCCUCAUCGGAGGGGCAACACCAAGUGGGCAGUGUUUACAGCUAGGACUACCCGGGUAUCUAAUCCGGUUUGCUACCCUAGCCCUCGUUCCUCACCGUCGGAUCCGUUCUAGUUGAACGCCUUCGCCACCGGGUCGU
rnacentral:rRNA from 1 species